rnacentral:rRNA from 1 species
AACGUAGGAGACAAACGUUAUCCGGAGUUACUGGGCGUAAAGGGCGUGUAGGCGGUUAGUUAAGUCUGGCGUGAAAGCUCUCGGCUAAACCGGGAGAGGUCGUCGGAUACUGGCAAACUAGAGGACGGUAGAGGCGUGUGGAAUUCCCGGUGUAGCGGUGAAAUGCGCAGAUAUCGGGAGGAACACCAAUUGCGAAGGCAGCUCGCUGGGACGUCACUGACGCUGAGACGCGAAAGCGUGGGGAGCAAACAGG